GUGAGGAAUAUUGGUCAAUGGGCGGGAGCCUGAACCAGCCAAGUCGCGUGAAGGAAGAAGGAUCUAUGGUUCGUAAACUUCUUUUGCAGGGGAAUAAAGUGCAGGACGUGUCCUGUUUUGUAUGUACCCUGAGAAUAAGGAUCGGCUAACUCCGUGCCAGCAGCCGCGGUAAUACGGAGGAUCCGAGCGUUAUCCGGAUUUAUUGGGUUUAAAGGGUGCGUAGGUGGUUUGAUAAGUCAGCGGUGAAAGUUUGCAGCUUAACUGUAAAAAUGCCGUUGAAACUGUCGGACUUGAGUGUAAAUGAGGUAGGCGGAAUGCGUGGUGUAGCGGUGAAAUGCAUAGAUAUCACGCAGAACUCCGAUUGCGAAGGCAGCUUACUAAGCUACAACUGACACUGAAGCACGAAAGCGUGGGGAUCAAACAGGAUUAGAUACCCUGGUAGUCC
rnacentral:rRNA from 1 species